UUUCUGAAUCUGAAAUGUGCUGCAGCUUGUGUCAUCAAUUCCUUACGUGAUCAAAGCCACGCACACGUCUCCGAGCACGAGGAGAGUGAGCGACCUUGAGUUCCUUCUGGAGCAGUCUACCAUCUGCAAAGUGACUGGAGAAGCCGUGUCCGAGUUCACCAAAGAUCCUGCUGAUAACAGCACCAACUUUUGCAGCCUCCAGAACCUGAUGUCAGGAAGUAAACUGGUCGAUGCUGAGGGAUACAAAGAGUUUAGCAACAAGUGGAUCUGUCCUGGGUUUGAUACGGCCAACUGCACCUUAUAACGUACAUCUUCCUGACUCCAAAUGUCACUUCAUAUGCAGAAUUAACAGCUCUGAAAGGAUUGGUUCUUAAGAGUGUAUUUUGCUUUCCCUUUUGUUCCCAUGUGCAUCAUUGUUUUUUUUAUUCAAGUGUUAUCCUUUUCUUAUAACAUGCAUUAAAAAAAUAUUCAACUCAACUGUAUUUUCUCCGA